rnacentral:rRNA from 1 species
CCUACGGGAGGCAGCAGUGAGGAAUAUUGGUCAAUGGACGAGAGUCUGAACCAGCCAAGUAGCGUGAAGGAUGACUGCCCUAUGGGUUGUAAACUUCUUUUAUAAAGGAAUAAAACGAGGCACCUGUGCCUUUUUGCAUGUACUUUAUGAAUAAGGAUCGGCUAACUCCGUGCCAGCAGCCGCGGUAAUACGGAGGAUCCGAGCGUUAUCCGGAUUUAUUGGGUUUAAAGGGAGCGUAGAUGGGUUGUUAAGUCAGUUGUGAAAGUUUGCGGCUCAACCGUAAAAUUGCAAUUGAUACUGGCAGUCUUGAGUACAGUUGAGGUAGGCGGAAUUCGUGGUGUAGCGGUGAAAUGCUGAGAGAUCACGAAGAACCCCGAUUGCGAAGGCAGCUUACGAAACUGUGACUGACAUUGAUGCUCGAAAGUGUGGGUAUCAAACAGGAUUAGAUACCCUUGUAGUC